GAUAAACGCUGGCGGCGCACAUAAGACAUGCAAGUCGAACGGACUUAACUCAUUCUUUUAGAUUGAGAGCGGUUAGUGGCGGACUGGUGAGUAACACGUAAGCAACCUGCCUAUCAGAGGGGAAUAACAGUGAGAAAUCAUUGCUAAUACCGCAUAAGCUAGUAGCAUCGCAUGAUGUAGCUAGAAAAGGAGUAAUCCGCUGAUAGAUGGGCUUGCGUCUGAUUAGCUAGUUGGUGGGGCAACGGCCUACCAAGGCGACGAUCAGUAGCCGGACUGAGAGGUUGAACGGCCACAUUGGGACUGAGAUACGGCCCAGACUCCUACGGGAGGCAACAGUCGGGAAUAUUGCGCAAUGGAGGAAACUCUGACGCAGUGACGCCGCGUAUAGGAAGAAGGUUUUCGGAUUGUAAACUAUUGUCGUGAGGGAAGAAAUUGACAGUACCUCAGGAGGAAGCUCCGGCUAACUAUGUGCCAGCAGCCGCGGUAA
rnacentral:rRNA from 1 species